GUCUAAUAUGUAGGGCUUCGGCCUCAUUUCUAAGCCCUUUAAAAGCCCAGCCCAGCCCGAUUAUAAUUAAUUAAUUAGAUUAAUUAUAAUUAUAUUAUAUGUAAGUGUUAUCAUGCACCAUUCCGCACAUGAUUGGACUCCAAAAACUCAUCCAAAGCUAAAACUCACGGAUCUAAUCUCUCUUUACGUCUCCCUCACAGUUCUCUCAGUCUCUCCUUCGUUUCCUAACCCUAGCCGCACACAACACUCACUACUCUCAUCUCAUCGCAUCAUUCAUCUCCAUCUUCAUCACCUUUGGUAGACAAUGUCAUCACCUUUGUCCUCUUCGUCUCCCCAGUGUUUUGCUUCUAAUAAUCCAUCAGCUCUCAAACUCACAAGCUGUAGAAGGGGUUGAAGGCUCUCAAGUCUUUUAAAUAUUAAACUAGCAUAUCUGUAAGUAAAGUAAGAUGUUUUCUAUAACUUGUGUGUUUAUUAUGUUGAAACUAAAUCUGUGGUUGUGUUUCUUAUGUAGAAAUGAAGAAAGUCAAGAAGAAAAUGAUUGUACAAGAUGAACAAGAAUGGCCGGAGUGGUUUGUCCAAGAUGCAGAAUAAAUAUUUUCAUUUUUAUUGU